rnacentral:rRNA from 1 species
GAGACCGGCAAACGGGUGCGGAACACGUACAGAACCUUCCUCAAAGCGGGGGACAGCCCUUGGAAACGAGGAUUAAUACCCCAUAGUAUAUGAAGACGGCAUCGUUUUUAUAUUAAAGGUUUACCACUUUGAGAUGGCUGUGCGGCCGAUUAGGUAGUUGGUGCGGGUAACGGCCCACCAAGCCUUCGAUCGGUAACUGGUGUGAGAGCACGACCAGUCACACGGGCACUGAGACACGGGCCCG